rnacentral:rRNA from 1 species
GACAGCAGCCGCCACGGGAAUACGGAGGGUGCAAGCGUUAAUCGGAAUUACUGGGCGUAAAGCGCACGCAGGCGGUCUGACAAGUCAGAUGUGAAAUCCCCGGGCUUAACCUGGGAACUGCAUUUGAAACUGUCAGGCUGGAGUCUUGUAGAGGGGGGUGGAAUUCCAGGUGUAGCGGUGAAAUGCGUAGAGAUCUGGAGGAAUACCGGUGGCGAAGGCGGCCCCCUGGACAAAGACUGACGCUCAGGUGCGAAAGCGUGGGGAGCAAACAGGAUUAGAUACCCCUGUAGUCCCUGUCUCUUAUAC